rnacentral:rRNA from 1 species
AACACACCGAAAGGUGUACUAAUACCGCAUAAGACCACGGGAUCACAUGGUUCUGGGGUAAAAGAUUUAUCGGUUUGGGGUGGGCUCGCGUCCGAUUAGGUAGUUGGUGAGGUAACGGCCCACCAAGCCGACGAUCGGUAGCCGACCUGAGAGGGUGAUCGGCCACAUUGGGACUGAGACACGGCCCAAACUCCUACGGGAGGCAGCAGUGGGGAAUAUUGGGCAAUGGGGGGAACCCUGACCCAGCAACGCCGCGUGGAGGAAGAAGGUUUUCGGAUCGUAAACUCCUGUCCUUGGAGACGAGUAGAAGACGGUAUCCAAGGAGGAAGCCCCGGCUAACUACGUGCCAGCAGCCGCGGUAAUACGUAGGGGGCAAGCGUUGUCCGGAAUAAUUGGGCGUAAAGGGCGCGUAGGCGGCUCGGUAAGUCUGGAGUGAAAGUCCUGCUUUUAAGGUGGGAAUUGCUUUGGAUACUGUCGGGCUUGAGUGCAGGAGAGG